AUUUAAAAUUAGAAAAAUUAAAAUAUCAUUUUUCUCGUCUUCAUAUAAAAAAUAAUAAUUGUUCUUACCAUUUACUGGUGGUUUAGCGAUUUCAAAGAGAACUGUUCCAGUUUCCAAAUCUCUAAUUUGAAAUCGCGUAAAAUCUAUUUCGAAAAUCGUGGGAAAAAAUUAUGAAUCUAUAAAAGACACGUCAGCUUUAUAUCAAAGGACUCACUGUCAGUAAUUGUUGGAAGUCGAAGAACCAUUUCAGUGAGAAAUCAAGAAGUUUGUCGGAUUUUUUAUAUUUCAAAAUGUUACUGAAUUUGAAGGUUAUAGUUCUACGUCAAUCGCGCAUUUCUCUUUGCGCAAAUAGGUGCGAAAUUUUUUAAUAUUUAAAUUAUGAAUAAUUAAUAAUCACAAUUUUAUAAUACAUAUGACAAAUUUAAAGUUUAGAUAAAUUUUUUAAAAGAAAGGCAAU